rnacentral:rRNA from 1 species
UAGUCCACGCCGUAAACGAUGUCUACUAGCCGUUGGGAAUCUUGAAUUCUUAGUGGCGCAGCUAACGCGAUAAGUAGACCGCCUGGGGAGUACGGCCGCAAGGUUAAAACUCAAAUGAAUUGACGGGGGCCCGCACAAGCGGUGGAGCAUGUGGUUUAAUUCGAUGCAACGCGAAGAACCUUACCAAGACUUGACAUCCUGCGAACUUUCUAGAGAUAGAUUGGUGCCUUCGGGAACGCAGUGACAGGUGCUGCAUGGCUGUCGUCAGCUCGUGUUGUGAAAUGUUGGGUUAAGUCCCGUAACGAGCGCAACCCUUGUCCUUAGUUGCCAGCACAUAAUGGUGGGAACUCUAAGGAGACUGCCGGUGACAAACCGGAGGAAGGUGGGGACGACGUCAAGUCAUCAUGGCCCUUACGUCUUGGGCUACACACGUGCUACAAUGGGCAGUACAAAGGGCAGCAAACCCGCGAGGGGGAGCGAAUCCCAUAAAACUGCUCGUAGUCCGGA